rnacentral:rRNA from 1 species
UGAGGAAUCUUGCGCAAUGGGGGAAACCCUGACGCAGCAACGCCGCGUGAGUGAGGAAGGCCUUCGGGUCGUAAAGCUCUGUCAGAUGGGAAGAAAUGGGUGGGGGCUAAUAUCGUCCAUCCUUGACGGUACCAUCAGAGGAAGCACCGGCUAACUCCGUGCCAGCAGCCGCGGUAAUCCGGGGGGUGCAAGCGUUGUUCGGAGUCAUUGGGCGUAAAGCGCGCGCAGGCGGCUUGGUAAGUCAGAUGUGAAAUCCCUGGGCUUAACCCAGGAAGUGCAUUUGAUACUGCCUCGCUAGAGUACGGGAGAGGAAAGUGGAAUGCCUGGUGUAGAGGUGAAAGUCGUAGAUAUCAGGAGGAACACCGGUGGCGAAGGCGACUUUCUGGCCCGAUACUGACGCUCAGGCGCGAAAGCGUGGGGAGCAAACA